rnacentral:rRNA from 1 species
CCUACGGGUGACAGCAGUCGAGAAUCAUUCACAAUGGGGGAAACCCUGAUGGUGCGACGCCGCGUGGGGGAAUGAAGGUCUUCGGAUUGUAAACCCCUGUCAUGUGGGAGCAAAUUAAAAAGAUAGUACCACAAGAGGAAGAGACGGCUAACUCUGUGCCAGCAACCGCGGUAAUACAGAGGUCUCAAGCGUUGUUCGGAAUCCCUGGGCGGAAAGCGUGCGUAGGCUGUUUCGUAAGUCGUGUGUGAAAGGCGCGGGCUCAACCCGUGGAAGGCACAUGAUACUGCGAGACUAGAGUAAUGGAGGGGGGACCGGAAUUCUCGGUGUAGCAGUGAAAUGCGUAGAUAUCGAGAGGAACACUCGUGGCGAAGGCGGGUUCCUGGACAUUAACUGACGCUGAGGCACGAAGGCCAGGGGAGCGAAAGGGAUUAGAUACCCCGGUAGUC